rnacentral:rRNA from 1 species
CUGGCUCAGGAUGAACGCUGGCGGCGUGCUUAACACAUGCAAGUCGAGCGGGCAAUUUAUCUAGCACUGAUUACUUCAAAUGGCUAUCGCCAGUGUAAUCAUGAAUUUCUACCUUUAA